CAAAGGUGAGCCAGUACAGGAUGGACCCGCGUCUGAUUAGCUAGUUGGUAAGGUAACGGCUUACCAAGGCGACGAUCAGUAGCCGACCUGAGAGGGUGAUCGGCCACAUUGGAACUGAGACACGGUCCAAACUCCUACGGGAGGCAGCAGUGGGGAAUAUUGCACAAUGGGCGAAAGCCUGAUGCAGCAACGCCGCGUGAGUGAUGAAGGCCUUCGGGUCGUAAAACUCUGUCCUCAAGGAAGAUAAUGAUGGUACUUGAGGAGGAAGCCCCGGCUAACUACGUGCCAGCAGCCGCGGUAAUACGUAGGGGGCUAGCGUUAUCCGGAUUUACUGGGCGUAAAGGGUGCGUAGGCGGUCUUUCAAGUCAGGAGUGAAAGGCUACGGCUCAACCGUAGUAAGCUCUUGAAACUGGGAGACUUGAGUGCAGGAGAGGAGAGUGGAAUUCCUAGUGUAGCGGUGAAAUGCGUAGAUAUUAGGAGGAACACCAGUUGCGAAGGCGGCUCUCUGGACUGUAACUGACGCUGAGGCACGAAAGCGUGGGGAGCAAACAGGAUUAGAUGCCCUGGUAGUCCACGCUGUAAACGAUGAGUACUAGGUGUCGGGGGUUACCCCCUUCG
rnacentral:rRNA from 1 species